UACCAGCACCCCGAGUGGUCGGGACGAUUAUUGGGCCUAAAGCAUCCGUAGCCGGUUUUACAAGUCCUCCGUUAAAUCCAGCUGCUUAACAGAUGGGCUGCGGAGGAUACUAUAAGACUAGGAGGCAGGAGAGGCAAGCGGUACUCAGUGGGUAGGGGUAAAAUCCAUUGAUCCAUUGAAGACCACCAGUGGCGAAGGCGGCUUGCCAGAACGCGCUCGACGGUGAGGGAUGAAAGCUGGGGGAGCAAACCGG
rnacentral:rRNA from 1 species